ACCAGACUCCUACGGGAGGCAGCAGUCGGGAAUAUUGCACAAUGGAGGAAACUCUGAUGCAGUGACGCCGCGUGCAGGAAGAAGGUUUUCGGAUUGUAAACUGCUUUAGAUAGGGAAGAUAAAAGACUGUACCUAUAGAAUAAGCUCCGGCUAACUACGUGCCAGCAGCCGCGGUAAUACGUAGGGAGCAAGCGUUAUCCGGAUUUAUUGGGUGUAAAGGGUGCGUAGACGGGCUAACAAGUUAGUUGUGAAAUCCCUCGGCUCAACUGAGGAACUGCAACUAAAACUAUUAGUCUUGAGUGCGGGAGAGGAAAGUGGAAUUCCUAGUGUAGCGGUGAAAUGCGUAGAUAUUAGGAGGAACACCAGUGGCGAAGGCGACUUUCUGGACCGUAACUGACGUUGAGGCACGAAAGUGUGGGGAGCAAACAGGAUUAGAUACCCGUGUA
rnacentral:rRNA from 1 species